rnacentral:rRNA from 1 species
GUCGGACGGCAGCACGGGUGCUUGCACCUGGUGGCGAGUGGCGAACGGGUGAGUAAUACAUCGGAACAUGUCCUGUAGUGGGGGAUAGCCCGGCGAAAGCCGGAUUAAUACCGCAUACGAUCUACGGAUGAAAGCGGGGGACCUUCGGGCCUCGCGCUAUAGGGUUGGCCGAUGGCUGAUUAGCUAGUUGGUGGGGUAAAGGCCUACCAAGGCGACGAUCAGUAGCUGGUCUGAGAGGACGACCAGCCACACUGGGACUGAGACACGGCCCAGACUCCUACGGGAGGCAGCAGUGGGGAAUUUUGGACAAUGGGCGAAAGCCUGAUCCAGCAAUGCCGCGUGUGUGAAGAAGGCCUUCGGGUUGUAAAGCACUUUUGUCCGGAAAGAAAUCCUUGGCUCUAAUACAGUCGGGGGAUGACGGUACCGGAAGAAUAAGCACCGGCUAACUACGUGCCAGCAGCCGCGGUAAUACGUAGGGUGCGAGCGUUAAUCGGAAUUACUGGGCGUAAAGCGUGCGCAGGCGGUUUGCUAAGACCGAUGUGAAAUCCCCGGGCUCAACCUGGGAACUGCAUUGGUGACUGGCAGGCUAGAGUAUGGCAGAGGGGGGUAGAAUUCCACGUGUAGCAGUGAAAUGCGUAGAGAUGUGGAGGAAUACCGAUGGCGAAGGCAGCCCCCUGGGCCAAUACUGACGCUCAUGCACGAAAGGGUGGGGAGCAAACAGGAUUAGAUACCCUGGUAGUCCACGCCCUAAACGAUGUCAACUAGUUGUUGGGGAUUCAUUUCCUUAGUAACGUAGCUAACGCGUGAAGUUGACCGCCUGGGGAGUACGGUCGCAAGAUUAAAACUCAAAGGAAUUGACGGGGACCCGCACAAGCGGUGGAUGAUGUGG